rnacentral:rRNA from 1 species
UACGGGGGGGGUAAGCGUUGUUCGGAAUUACUGGGCGUAAAGGGCUCGUAGGUGGCCAACUAAGUCGGACGUGAAAUCCCUCAGCUUAACUGGGGAACUGCGUCCGAUACUGGAUGGCUUGAGUUUGGGAGAGGGAUGCGGAAUUCCAGGUGUAGCGGUGAAAUGCGCAGAUAUCAGGAGGAACACCGAUGGCGAAGGCAGGUCUCUAGGCAUUAACUGACGCUGAGGAGCGAAAGCAUGGGGAGCGAACAGG